AGCGUUCUUCUUCCAGUUCUCAGGCAGAAACUGCAACAGCUGAGGAUUCCGGUGCCGUCCUACUAACACGAUAAGUUACACAAGUUUGACUACAACAUCAACUUAAUUUUGUCUUUUUGUCAAUCACAAGCACUACUUGCUUCUCCUUCCACUUGUCAUUGGCAGAAUCGUCGACGUUUGCAUCGACAUGGAUUGCCAUAAAUAAAAAUAGAAUAGAAUAGAA